rnacentral:lncRNA from 1 species
CUCCCGGGGCUUCCACGGCAACUUUUCUGAGCGUCGCGUCCCAUGAGUGUUCAGAGACACCCAGGAACAGGCUUCUCCGGAUCCCAUCCUGGGACACGAGGGAGAACCAACCAACCGACCUCCGAACCUACCCCGUCUCCAAGGCCGUCUGUCAAGCCGCGUUGCAAUCAAAAGCUUCGCAGGCCUCCCCGGGUGUCUCUGCUGUCUAGUCUAAAGCCCACACACAAGAGACUGGAAGAAAACACGGCAGGACGUUCACUGGUGGCUUCUGACUGGGAGGUUUCCAGGGAUUCUUAAGUUGUCUUCUUUUUUGAUUAUUUGUAGUUUCUAAGUUUUCUCUAAUGAACAACAGGAUGCUUUUUUAAUAGGAAAGAUAGGUUAUUCUAAAUUUAUAAAGAACGCCUGCAGAACAGAAGUUUGGCAGCACUACCCUGCAAUGUAAGCAGCCUUUUUUUUCUUUUUUAAGACUUGCGAGAGACAGUCAAUUUCGGGGACCGAGACCGGUCUCCUCCUCCCUGGCUCCUCUCGUCCCGCCCCUUGGCCACGCCCACUUCGACCCUUUUACUCCGGUACCUCCCCUUCUCCUUCGGUUGCUGCAAAACCCGGAAAGGUGGACCUUACACACGAACGCUCCUGGUGGCUCGUGCAGCCAGACUGGGCAUGUUCCGCCGCCGGGUCAGGGAUUGCUGUCAAGGAGAGAGGAGGCUUUCAACGACUCCCAGUUUCUCUUCUCCUUCUCUCUAUCCCUGGCAAACAAAACAAAGUAGCGCUUGCGACCUCCUGCCCGGAGCGCAGACCUGCAGAAGUGGGUCAGGACAGGACUGAGCAUGCUCGGGGCAGUGCCAGGCUGCCGCACGCGGGUGCAUCUCGUUGCCCAAGGUUGAUGGAGCUGCGCUCGCUCAUCACGACAUCGAAGUUCUCAGAGAACCUGCAGAAUGCUCUCAUGCCAUCUUCGAUCCACUUCAGGCAGGUGUGGGGAAUUGCUUUUAAUAUUCUGUUACAGAAGAGAAGACUGAAAUGGAGAAAUAUUACAGGAAAGAGAUUUUACAGUCUCAAGAUGGAUAAACUUAAGAACCCAGAGAGAGCUUUUCAUUGAGCCCAGGCAAGUGAGUGGGAUGGUUGUCUGUUUUCUGUAUAAAGAGGAGGAAGAUGGGCAGGCAGUUCAGCUGCCCUGUGAGGCUUGGUUAAUAGUGGGAAAUACCCUCAGGGAGGUUGGCUUCAUUUCAAACCCAGGCUCCCCCCACCUUCAGCUUCAGGACAGUGGGAGACACCGUCUUUAGGUAUCACUCCUGGGAAGAAUAAAUUUACUUAAGUACUUCCUCCUAGAAUCCUA